AGAGUUUGAUCAUGGCUCAGAUUGAACGCUGGCGGCAUGCCUUACACAUGCAAGUCGAACGGCAGCACGGGGGCAACCCUGGUGGCGAGUGGCGAACGGGUGAGUAAUACAUCGGAACGUGUCCUGUAGUGGGGGAUAGCCCGGCGAAAGCCGGAUUAAUACCGCAUACGCUCUACGGAGGAAAGGGGGGGAUCUUAGGACCUCCCGCUACAGGGGCGGCCGAUGGCAGAUUAGCUAGUUGGUGGGGUAAAGGCCUACCAAGGCGACGAUCUGUAGCUGGUCUGAGAGGACGACCAGCCACACUGGGACUGAGACACGGCCCAGACUCCUACGGGAGGCAGCAGUGGGGAAUUUUGGACAAUGGGGGAAACCCUGAUCCAGCAAUGCCGCGUGUGUGAAGAAGGCCUUCGGGUUGUAAAGCACUUUUGUCCGGAAAGAAAACCUCCGAGUUAAUACCUUGGGGGGAUGACGGUACCGGAAGAAUAAGCACCGGCUAACUACGUGCCAGCAGCCGCGGUAAUACGUAGGGUGCAAGCGUUAAUCGGAAUUACUGGGCGUAAAGCGUGCGCAGGCGGUCCGCUAAGACAGAUGUGAAAUCCCCGGGCUUAACCUGGGAACUGCAUUUGUGACUGGCGGGCUAGAGUAUGGCAGAGGGGGGUAGAAUUCCACGUAGCAGUGAAAUGCGUAGAGAUGUGGAGGAAUACCGAUGGCGAAGGCAGCCCCCUGGGCCAAUACUGACGCUCAUGCACGAAAGCGUGGGGAGCAAACAGGAUUAGAUACCCUAGUAGUCC
rnacentral:rRNA from 1 species